rnacentral:misc_RNA from 1 species
AAGUCGUAACAAGGUUUCCGUAGGUGAACCUGCGGAAGGAUCACUAAAGAGAACUUGCCCUUCGGGGUAGAUCUCCCACCCGUUUGUUUAAUCACCACUUUUGUUGCAUUUGGUCGGGCCAUGACCUCACGGCUGCCGGCGUAAGCUGGCUCGCGCCCGCCAGAGACCCCCAAACUCUGAAUAUUGUCGUCUGAGUAAAUAUAUAAUAAAGUUAAAA